UGUUCAAAAGAAAAAAUUCAUUUAAAAGAAUAAAAACAAUAUAUUUGAAUAAUUUGAUUAGAUAAUUGUGAUGGGAUUGUAGAGACCAAACAGUUUGAAGUAGAAAGACAUGGUGAUGUUUAAUAAGUAUGAGAUGACAAGUCAUUGAAGUCUUUAUAGGGUUAUGGUAUAGCGCAAAGAUUCUAAGAUGCCUACUUACUUUCAUGUUUCAACGGAUACUUUUUAUCUCAUUCUGAUUUUUUUCAAAUUUAUGUCAGCAUGUUACUAUCAUCAUUCAUCAUCAUCAUGGCACGUCCGAUCAAUCAGUCUCCAUCUUUUCUGUUUAAAUCACAUUACCUUCUACUGUUUUUUUUUCUAUCUUUCCCCCCUUUUUUUCCUCCCUCAACUGUUUGAUUGACCUUUGUUUCUCUCUCUCACUCACUCUAUAAAUAGUCAUUUCAUUGUGAAUAUUUCAGUCAGAAUCUGUUGGUCCUUCUUCUAUUUCUGGGUAUCUCUAAAGCUAACCCAUUUCUCCUCUCAUCAUCAAGGUAAAAAUACUGAUUCACUCUUUUUUAUACUACAGUUCUACUUCACUGGAUUCAUAUAUAUUAUGUUUUCUUUCCAUGAAAAUUUUUCUUUGAUGUUUUUUAUUGUAUUUUCGUUGGUUUUCAUGAUUUUUAAGGAAUGGCUGAUUAGGAUUUGGAUCAAGACAAAGAUGGUCUUAGUUUUCACUAUCUAGAUUUCUUAUAUAUUUUUACUAUCAUUCAAUGACUGAUGAGUUUUUACUAUAAAUCUCAUGUUUUCUUCAGAUCGUUUUCUCACCCCAUAACCAUUAAUCUGUCUUAUUGGGUGUCAUUAGUUUUUGCAGGUUUUCUUUUAUUUCUUCACUGGUAUGUAUGUAUGUAUAUGACUGUUUGUUUAAUUCUUUAAUUUUUUUAAUUUUUUUUUAGUUUUCAUUUUAUUUUCUUGCUGUAUUUAGUAAAGGAACAAGGGUGAAAAAUGUGUAAGAAUCUUGAUGAUACCCCAGAUCUGAAAUCAAAAAAAGAUAUAAUCAAUGUUUAAAAACC
rnacentral:lncRNA from 1 species